rnacentral:rRNA from 1 species
UACGGGAGGGCAGCAGUGGGGAAUAUUGCACAAUGGGCGCAAGCCUGAUGCAGCCAUGCCGCGUGUAUGAAGAAGGCCUUCGGGUUGUAAAGUACUUUCAGUCGUGAGGAAGGUGUUAAGGUUAAUAACCUUAGCAAUUGACGUUAGCGACAGAAGAAGCACCGGCUAACUCCGUGCCAGCAGCCGCGGUAAUACGGAGGGUGCGAGCGUUAAUCGGAAUUACUGGGCGUAAAGGGCACGCAGGCGGUUAAUUAAGUUGGAUGUGAAAUCCCCGGGCUUAACCUGGGAAUGGCAUUCAAGACUGGUUAGCUAGAGUCUUGUAGAGGGGGUAGAAUUCCAUGUGUAGCGGUGAAAUGCGUAGAGAUGUGGAGGAAUACCGGGUGGCGAAGGCGGCCCCUGGGACAAAGACUGACGCUCAUGUGCGAAAGCGUGGGGAGCAAACGAGGAUUAGAUACC